AGUCCCAGGUUUAUGCGUGUUAUCGACACAGAACCCAGUUCUAUCUCUCUCUCUCUCUCUCCAUUUCAAAUUUUCAAUCUCUCUCUGUCUUUCUUCCCCAAGACAUGGACAACCUUCGAACCUAUAGAGACGAAGACGACGAAGAAGACGAACAAUCGAAACCCACAACCGCCGCCGCAAUCCCAACUGCCGAGCCCAUCGAACCACCCGAACCCACCACCGACGACCCCGACACCGACACCCUAAACCCACCUUCCAACGACCCGCAAAACGGCAGUAAAACGGAAACCGAAGCCUCCGAAUCUCUCUCCGAGUCCGUCAAAUCCCAAGAAAUCGACAUCGACAACGACGACGACGAUCCGCCUCCCAAGAAGCAAAAGCAGCUCUCUUCCCUCACCGCAGAGCCCUUUCCCGACCAAGAUCAAACCCCACUGCCCCUGCCCAUCUCCAACGGAAUCGCUGUCGCCGCCGCCGCCCCAACCGCCGCCAAUUCGAAGAAAUCGAAGAAGAAGAACAACAAUGUGUGGGUCACUAAGUCGACCCGCAAGGGGAAAAAGAAGAGCAAGGCCAAUAACAACAACCACAAUGCCCCCGGGGACGACACCGUGUUGAUCACUCCAGUCACGCGGUUCCCGGACAAAACUGACGACACUCCGGACAUGACAAUCUGCCUCUCCAAGGUGUACAAGGCCGAGAAAGUGGAGGUGAGCGAGGACCGAAUGAGUGCCGGUAGCACAAAAGGGUACAGAAUGGUUAGGGCCACCAGGGGAGUGGCUGAGGGGGCUUGGUAUUUUGAAAUAAAGGUGGUGAACUUGGGAGAGAGUGGCCACACAAGGCUUGGCUGGUCCACUGAGAAAGGGGACUUGCAGGCACCCGUCGGGUAUGAUGCGAAUAGUUUUGGGUAUAGGGACAUUGAUGGGAGUAAGGUGCAUAAGGCUUUGAGGGAGAAAUAUGGGGAGGAAGGGUACAAGGAAGGUGAUGUUAUUGGGUUUUAUAUAAAUUUGCCUGAUGGGGGCUCGUAUGCCCCAAAGCCGCCCCAUUUGGUUUGGUACAAGGGUCAGCGGUAUGCUUGUGCCCCUGACGUGAAGGAGGAUCCUCCGAAAGUAGUGCCUGGAAGUGAGAUAUCAUUUUUUAAAAAUGGGGUAUGUCAAGGAGUUGCUUUUAAGGAUCUAUAUGGUGGACGUUACUAUCCUACUGCUUCAAUGUACACUCUUCCACAUCAACCAAAUUGUGUUGUCAAGUUCAACUUCGGCCCUGAUUUUGAAUUCUUUCCAGAAGACUUCGAUGGACGUCCAGUGCCCCGGCCCAUGUUUGAAGUUCCUUAUCAUGGGUUUGAAAACCGAGUUGAAAAUGGAGAUUCUGAUGAGAAGAAACAAUAACCAGAAACCAGCACAAUUCAACCCUAUUUCUGUUUCUGGAGUUUCCAAUAGCCAAAACGAGGUUCGUUCGUUGAGCACUGAGCACUUACUUCAACUGUAUUGCAGAGGCAACGAAAAUGAUGGAUUACAUUCUUUGUUAUACCUCCGUUUGGUCGUAUUUCUUUUAGAUUGAAGAGCUGUCGAGUUUGAUUUCAUUUUUGGGAACUAUCGAUGGACUCUAAGCAGUUUCUCCUGAGCAAUCAUAGUCAAGUAUCAUGUUGGAGAAACAAAUUUCUGGUUA